rnacentral:lncRNA from 1 species
CAAAAAUUUGUUUAACAAAAUGAUAAUGGUUAAACACAUAUCUACAUCCAGUAGAAUCUUUCUUAAUGAACUUCUGCUGAUCCACUUACUUCAUUAGUCAGUCAUUUUUACUCCCUUUGUAAAGCACAUGGAGCACUCCUCAGUAGAACUUUACCCAUGCACUUUCCACUCCAAAUUUGGGUGGGAAUUUAACAAAAGUGGGAUGGGUCUGUGUCCAGCCUAUUUAUGUUCUUGGUAACUGCUAUUGAAAUUAUAAAUGCAAAAAGAAAGAUAACAGUUGUUUUAUGAAAUUUAAGUUGAUUUGCAAAAUUUAGCCAAAAUCAAAUUGCCUAAAAAAAGGAAGUAAGAAAGGAAUGUUGCUGUUACAAAUCAAAAAGUCCAUAGCAGUGAUUCUCAAGAUUGAGAACUGCUGAUUUAACAGAGGCCUGUGCUCAAUUUUUAAUUCUCUCUAAGUUUUCUAUUUCAAAACAAGCAAAAAUAGAAACCUAGAAAUUACAAAAGCAUUAUUGAUAUUGUUUAUGCCAGAAAGCCCAAACUGUCUGUCAUAAUUAAAGAAACAACCUUGGCCUACACUUUUUUAAAAUGGUGAAUGAAAGUGUAUAUGCUUUAAAUUUAAAAAAAAACUGUUUGAGAAAUACAUAUGUUUUUAAAAAUAUACAUCAUAUCAUUUAUUUCACUGUUUCACACUAGUUAUUUCACUGCGGACUGCAGGUCCUCAAGCACUAUAACUCCACAUACCAAGUGUGAAGCCACAUGUUCCCAGAUGAGUGAAGGCAGCGCUGGAACCCAGGGUCAGGUUGGCAUGGCUGAGCCGGCCCUGGCUUUCCCUCACACCGGAAAGAUGACCAGAGAGCCCAGGAGCCAGUGGCAGGGAGGCAGGGCUGGCAUUUCCAACAGAAGGAGGUUUUUGCCCCAUGCUUCUCUCUCCUUAGCAGAAGAAAAAUCUUUUCCAAAAGUCCCUAACAGACUGUUUUAUGUCUCAUUGGCAGAACUGUGUCACUUGCUAACCCCUAAACUACUUGCAGGCCAAGAAGAAUGGGAUCGUCAUGACUGGCUGGGAAAUGAAUCAUGGGCAGCCCAGACGCAGGGCUUUGAUCAGUCCAGCUUCCUCCUCCUAAGAAGUUUCCACCAGAACAUUGCUUGGUGACAUAGUGGUCUUCACCCUGAGCGUCUACAAAUGUAUGUUAAGUUGCUAUUAAGGACCUGUGGACAGAGAAGGCACACCACCACAGGUAAGCCAUAUGUAAAAGAAGCAAACUUCCUUCCUCACAUUUCAAUCUAUUUCAACAUUCAUCAGGUCCUUCAAAAUUUUUGCCAGACUCCAAACCCACUUUUCUAACACCAUUCCUUCAUAUACAUCAGCUAUGCACAUACCAAGUGUUUGCAUGUAAUACUUCAUUGCAUCCCCCCUGUGAAGCAGGCAUUAUUCUCCCCA